rnacentral:rRNA from 1 species
AAGAAACUAACAAGGAUUCCCCUAGUAACGGCGAGUGAAGAGGGAAGAGCUCAAAUUUGAAAUCUGGCAGUCUACGGCUGUCCGAGUUGUAAUCUAGAGAAGUGUUUUCCGUGCUGGACCGUGUACAAGUCCUUUGGAACAAGGCGUCAUAGAGGGUGAGAAUCCCGUCUACGACACGGACUCCCAGUGCUCUGUGAUACACUCUCAACGAGUCGAGUUGUUUGGGAAUGCAGCUCAAAAUGGGUGGUAAAUUCCAUCUAAAGCUAAAUACAGGCGAAAGACCGAUAGCGAACAAGUACCGUGAGGGAAAGAUGAAAAGCACUUUGGAAAGAGAGUUAAACAGUACGUGAAAUUGUUGAAAGGGAAACGCUUGAAGUCAGUCGCGUCUUCAGAAAUUCAGCCUGGCUUCUGCCUGGUGUACUUUUCUGUUGGACGGGCCAGCAUCAGUUUUGGCCGCCAGAAAAAGGUGAGAGGAAGGUGGCACCCUUCGGGGUGUGUUAUAGCCUCUCAUCGUAUGUGGCGGCUGGGACUGAGGACCGCAGCACGCCUUCAAUGGCCGGGGUUCGCCCACGUAACGUGCUUAGGAUGCUGGCGUAAUGGCUUUAAACGACCCGUCUUGAAACACGGACCAAGGAGUCUAACAUGCCUGCGAGUAUUUGGGUGGCAAACCCAUAUGCGGAAUGAAAGUGAACAGUUGGGACUUCUGUCAUGGAAGGCACCGACGCCCGGACCAGACCUACUGUGACGGUUCCGAGGUAGAGCAUGUAUGUUGGGACCCGAAAGAUGGUGAACUAUGCCUGAGUAGGGUGAAGCCAGAGGAAACUCUGGUGGAGGCUCGUAGCGAUUCUGACGUGCAAAUCGAUCGUCGAACUUGGGUAUAGGGGCGAAAGACUAAUCGAAC